UACGUAGGGGGUAAGCGUUGUCCGGAAUCAUUGGGCGUAAAGAGCGUGUAGGCGGCUUGGUAAGUCCGCUGUGAAAGUCCAGGGCUCAACCCUGGAAUGCCGGUGGAAACUGUCAAGCUUGAGUCCGGAAGAGGCGAGUGGAAUUCCUGGUGUAGCGGUGAAAUGCGCAGAUAUCAGGAGGAACACCAAUGGCGAAGGCAGCUCGCUGGGACGGUACUGACGCUGAGACGCGAAAGCGUGGGGAGCAAACAGG
rnacentral:rRNA from 1 species